AAAAACAGCAGGGGUUUUUGUAAGUGGUCCUUCUGAGAACAAUGACACUGAGGCGCGCGUGCAUGUGAAGACUCCAUUUUAUUCUUUCAGUGUUUGAAUGAACACAACGUCGCCCGGUUGGAAAAUGAUCGCUAUUUUACGAGAAAAAUUGCAUAAAAAUGUAUUUUAAACAGCGUUUGACAUGCUUCGAAGUACGGUAAUGGAAUAUUUUUAAAUUUUUUGUCACGAAAUGCGCCGGCGCGUCACCCUUCGGAUAGUGACUUGAACGCACGAACAAAACGGAGCUAUUUGGAUAUAACUAUGGAUUAUUUCGAACCAAAACAACAUUUGUUGUUGAAGUGGAAGUCCUGGAUGUGCAUUCUGACGAAGAACAGCAAAGGUAAAUAGCAAUAUGCUUUAAACCACUCUGGCGACACAUACUUUUCUGCUGUGUUUCCAAUCAUCCACAUGGCUGGGAGAACCUAUUCAAAUACAGAGAGCCGUGAAAGCCUGGUAUGCAGAUGAAGAGGUCCCAAUAAAGAGCAGUGGUUCUCAGUCCUGGUCCUGGGGACUCAAAGGGGCAUGUGUGAAGUCUACCUGUGUACUGCAUAACUUCAUGAGGAUGGACACGAGGACCAGGAAGGGACCUGCAAUUCUCCGCUGUGUGCCAGAGGAUGGGAUGGGGGCCAACAAUGCAGCACGGGAGGAAAUCCGUGUGCGGAAGAUCUUCACCUACUACUUCUUCGAAGAGGGUGCUGGUCCCUGGCAACACCAUAAACUACACUAUGCAUAACCAAAAGCUUGUUUAAUCGCCACCCACAACGUAAUAGGAGUAUUCUUUCAUUUACUUAGCUAUGUCAACUGCAGUUAUUCAAUUCCCAGUAUCUCUCGCUUUGAUUUCCUGAUGUUCAGGUAAGGGUGAUGUCUGCACAAAAUCAAAACAGGCUCUUCUAGGAGUCACCCAUAUUGAUUAUUAUUUUUUUUUUACAAUUAGACACCCUACAACCCACACCUACACACUUGUGUGUCAGUCUGAUUGAUGGAUUGUGUUGUUGAGUAAGCAGGCUUGGGUGUAUAACUCUGGCUUCCACCUUCAAAGAAUAGUUAAGAGGACCAACCAUGGAGAAUAGUAAGACACUCAAUUAUUUAUAUUUCUGUAACUACGCUUUAUUGUUUGUCCUCAUGUGUCUGUGCAUGUUUUUCAGUUUAAAUUACUCUGCAGCCACAGUGUGGACACCAGGUGAGGCCACACACAGAUUCCUGUUUAACACUGUCUCUUUAACUACCUUAUAUUCUCUCCUUCACUUCAUCCCUCUCCCCCCUCUCCCCCCUUCUUCUGAUCAGAGGUGAGAGGUCACUUGGUCUGGUCAACAGGAAGUAUUAUUAAAGAGACACUUUACAUUGAAAUACAGAUGGAGAUGUAGAAGUCCCAGAGUUAAUGAUACAAGGUAUGUUUUGAUGUGAGAGAAGAUGCCAAGCCCCAGUCCUGUCAUCGCCACCUCACCCGCUCUAAGAUAACCCUCGGGCCAACUCAAGGCUGGUUAGGAGACACUGCUAGAGACACUAUUAUGUAAUCGUGAUGACCUGAGAGAAAAUGAAGUUUAGUAGAACUGUAAAUCGUUAAUCAUAUGCUGUCUUCCCUGCUCCUCUGUUCUUAUCUCUUCCCCCCUCCUCUUCCUUCC
rnacentral:lncRNA from 1 species